rnacentral:rRNA from 1 species
GACGAACGCUGGCGGCGUGCUUAACACAUGCAAGUCGAACGGAAAGGCCCUGCUUGCAGGGUACUCGAGUGGCGAACGGGUGGGUAACACGUGGGUGAUCUGCCCUGCACUUCGGGAUAAGCUUGGGAAACUGGGUCUAAUACCGGAUAGGAACCAUCUUUAGUGUGGUGGUUGGAAAGUUUUUUCGGUGUAGGAUGAGCUCGCGGCCUAUCAGCUUGUUGGUGGGGUAAUGGCCUACCAAGGCGGCGACGGGUAGCCGGCCUGAGAGGGUGUACGGCCACAUUGGGACUGAGAUACGGCCCAGACUCCUACGGGAGGCAGCAGUGGGGAAUAUUGCACAAUGGGCGCAAGCCUGAUGCAGCGACGCCGCGUGGGGGAUGAAGGCCUUCGGGUUGUAAACUCCUUUCGCUAGGGACGAAGCUUUGUUGUGACGGUACCUAGAUAAGAAGCACCGGCUAACUACGUG